CAUUAUAACGACUCUCAUCAGUUAAUUUCCAGCUCUCUACUCUUUUACUCUCUCAGCUACAAUUUCAAUUGAGAGAAAUUUUCCUAGAAUUACAAAAUAUAAAGUACUAGCACUUGUUGGUUUUGAUUCGAAACCCUAAAAGUCCCCAAAACCCCGACGAAAUUAGGGUUUUUGUUGUAAAAAAAUCAACCAUGUCUAAACGCAAAUUUGGAUUUGAAGGGUUUGGGAUAAACCGUCAAGCUACCUACAACUUCGAGCGAUCCCAAGCUCCUCAACGCCUCUACGUCCCUCCUUCUUCUCGCCACGGCCACGACAACUACGAAGAUACCGACCUUGACGACAUCGAUUACGCCGAUAAUGAUACCUCCAAGGACGUCGACACUAAUUACCCCGAUAGCAAGGGAAACGGAGCGGAAGAUGACGAAAUUGACCCUCUUGACGCGUUCAUGCAAGGUAUUCAGGAGGAUUUGAAUGCGGCGCCGCCUCCGAAGCCCAAGGAUAAGGCGGAGAGGUUUAAAGACGAUGAUGAUGAGGAUGAUCCGGUGGAGAGUUUUUUGAGGGUGAAGAAGGAUGUUGGGCUGACUUUGGCGGCGGAUGCUUUGCGUGCGGGGUAUGAUUCGGAUGAGGAGGUUUAUGCGGCAGCGAAGGCGGUAGAUGCGGGUUUGUUGGAGUACGAUUCGGAUGAUAAUCCCGUUAUUGUGGACAAGAAAAAGAUCGAGCCGAUUCCAGCCCUUGAUCACAGUUCCAUUGAGUAUGAGCCGUUUAACAAAGAUUUUUAUGAGGAGAAAACUUCAAUUUCAGGAAUGAGUGAGCAGGAAGUUGCUGAAUAUCGAAAGAGUUUGGCUAUUCGUGUUUCUGGUUUUGAUGUUCCAAGACCUGUUAAGACAUUUGAAGACUGUGGUUUUGCACCAGAAUUAAUGCGUGCUAUUGCAAAACAAGGGUAUGAAAAGCCGACUACGAUUCAGUGCCAAGCCUUACCUAUUGUCCUUUCUGGGAGGGAUGUUAUUGGUAUUGCAAAAACUGGUUCUGGUAAAACUGCUUCUUUUGUGAUUCCAAUGAUUGUCCACAUUAUGGAUCAGCCUGAACUUCAGAAAGAAGAGGGUCCGAUAGGAGUGAUAUGUGCACCUACGCGAGAACUAGCACACCAAAUAUUCUUGGAAACAAAGAAAUUUGCCAAAGCCUAUGGGAUACGAGCCUCUGCUGUAUAUGGUGGAAUGUCCAAACUUGAUCAGUUCAAGGAACUCAAGGCAGGAUGUGAGAUAGUCAUUGCUACACCUGGUCGAUUGAUAGACAUGCUAAAAAUGAAGGCACUGACAAUGAUGAGAGCAACUUAUUUGGUACUUGAUGAGGCUGAUCGAAUGUUUGACCUUGGGUUUGAGCCACAAAUAAGAUCCAUCGUUGGCCAAAUCAGACCUGACCGCCAGACCUUACUAUUUUCAGCAACAAUGCCCCACAAAGUUGAGAAGCUAGCAAGAGAAAUUCUCAGUGACCCAGUCAGAGUUACAGUUGGAGAGGUGGGAAUGGCUAAUGAGGAUAUUACUCAGCUUGUUCAUGUACUUCCUUCUGAUUCUGAGAAGCUACCGUGGCUUCUAGAGAAGCUACCUGGAAUGAUUGAUGAGGGUGAUGUUUUGGUGUUUGCUUCCAAGAAAGCUACUGUUGAUGAGAUUGAAUCACAGCUCUCUCAUAAGGUUUUUAAGGUUGCCGCCCUUCAUGGUGACAAAGAUCAGGCUUCUCGAAUGGAAAUUCUACAAAAGUUUAAGUGUGGCAUCUACCAUGUUCUCAUUGCAACUGAUGUUGCUGCUCGUGGCCUUGACAUCAAGUCAAUUAAGUCAGUUGUGAACUUUGAUAUCGCAAAGGACAUGGACAUGCAUGUGCACCGUAUUGGUAGAACAGGUCGUGCUGGUGACAAAGAUGGCAUUGCAUAUACUCUGAUAACUCAGAAGGAGGCUCGGUUUGCGGGUGAAUUGGUAAAUAGUUUAAUUGCUGCUGGUCAGAAUGUGUCAAUGGAACUGAUGGAUCUUGCUAUGAAGGAUGGAAGAUUCAGGUCCAAGCGUGAUGCAAGAAAAGGAGGUGGAAAGAAAGGCAGAGGAAGGGGGGGUGGUGGUGGGGGUGGUCGAGGUGUGCGUGGAGUUGAUUAUGGUCUGGGUAUUGGAUAUAAUCCAGAAUCCGGUAAUGCUUCAUCUCAGGCUGCUCAAAGUCGAAAUGCUGCUGUAAAUUCUCUGAAAACUGGCAUGAUGGCACAAUUCAAGAGUAACUUUGUUGCUGCUUCAUCAAACUCUCAAAGUCAAGGCUUCGGCAACAAUUCAAGUGUCAGGAAACCAACUUUGCCUGGAUUUGUAUCCGGUGGUACCAUUGGUGGAGAUAUAAAUAGGUCUCAGAUGGCCGGUUCAUUCAGCACUGCUCCGAUGUCAGGAUCGAAUACUUCACAGAAUACUGGACAAAACACUACCCAGAGGAACUCAGAGAGUUCCAGAGAUAGACCUAGAGAAAGACGAAGGCCUUCUGGGUGGGAUCGUUAGUCUUUAUACAUUGAUGGAUGAUGCUAUUUACAUAAACGGUCGGCAACUUUUAUCUGUUCAAAUCUUGAAUUAACCUUGUCUGUAUAAUUAUCAUGCUUAUGGAAUCUUUUGGAAGAAUAGGUGUGCAAUCAUCUUUCGUUGACACUAAAUUACAGAGGCAUUCCAUGACUUCAUAAACAUAACAAAUAAAAAGCAAUAGAAUCGUCAUAAAAGAAGAAAAGAAAAGAAUAAUGAUUGAUGGAUCUAACAUACGAUUUCUGGAAGGGCAUGAUCCUUUUUGGAUUUUAAGGCUGUCUUCAGUUAUGGAGCAUUUUAGAUCCUAGGCAGUGGAGGGUGUUGUCAAACACCUUGUGGGUUGCUGUUGAUGAUAUUCGCCUCAUCUGCCCAAGUCUAUUAUUUAACUUAAGUUUGGAAAUGCAGUGGAGAAAGAAAAUUGUUGAUAGGAGCAAUAGCUAGCUCUGCACAACAACCUGCUAGGUUCCUGUCCCUGGGCUGGGGAUUAUGAUCAGCUGAAACUGCUUGAAAAUUCUCAUUCAUCUUCGUUCAAUCAUAAGCACAACACAACCCCUGAUGAUGGUUGUCUGGUUUGAAUUAGUGGAUAAUUUGUCCUACCAAAAGGAUUUUUAUUUUUAUCCCUUGGCGAUUAAGAGAUAGAUAUUGUAGACAGUUCCAGGCCAAUUUAGCCACAAUGAAAUUCUGGUAUAAAGUUAUGGCUGGUAUGCAAUGAAAUUCGUCUUCUUUUUCUUCUCUCUGUGCCUGGAUCUCUGGUGCCUAUGAUGUGUUUGCAAGAGCCCAGUGUGCCUGUAUGGCUUUUCCCAUUACUGUCAAAUACAUUAUUAGAAACUCAAUAGAUUGCAGAAAAAAGAUUGACUGACUGAAGCCUUUUUAUGUUGACAAUUGGUACUUGGAAAGCAUGACGUCAAAGUUGGAAACCUGAAUCAAGAUGUCACGCACGGUUUAUGGCUGUGGAAAUUUCGUCACAUUCACAUUCCUUUGAAUUUCCCUCUGUGUAUUAGCAAUUGGACAGACAUAUAUCAAGGCAAAGCUCUUUAAGGGUGCUAAUCAUUCUCCGACAAUGGUGGGUGGUUCCCAAAUUUGAACUGCCAUGUCAAAGUCAACAGCAUUAUCAAAACUUAGAAAUGUGCUAAAUACUUUUAAAACUAGCAACAAGAUGGGUAGCAACUGGCAAUUGAUGAGAUUACAAGAAUACGUUAGUUUUUGUUGGAGGAUGUUGCUUUGUAAAGGAAAAUCUAGCCACAUCUAAGCUGAAUUGCUGAUGGUAAAUAAAUGAAAACCAAAGGGAGAACAAGAUGUCGGGUAGCGCAAUCUAAUUUAUCCGACAAUCUUUACACUCUAGUAGCAAAAUGAGUUUUCGAUGGUCAAAUGCAAUUCGGAAUACCAUAGUUUUAGGAACAAAGAGAAGGGCCUUGUCCCUAGAGUUACCUGACUGCUAUAAUCGCAGAAGUUCGACUCCUUCGCUCUUUUGAAUUUGCUAUUGCAAUAAUCUCAUGAAGGACGAUGCAUUAGCCAGUUCUUUUUUAAGUGCAUGGAUGAAUUGAAGCUCAUCAAUAAACUUCAUCUUUCAACAACUCUCACCUGACUGUAUGUGAGAUUGGGACAACUCGAGAAGGUGCCUCAACUAAACUUAUAGAUGAAUUGAAGUUACCUUCUCUGGAUGCAGAGCUAGCGAAUUUAAAUGACAUUGAGUGAGUAGAGUGUUUUGGAAGAGUUCAGAUGACAACAUAUGGUAAUCUGGCUGCUCUUUAUGUCGUGGUUGGGCUGUUUGUGAAAGCUGAGGGCCUGAGGCAUGUCUUAACUUCGGUUUAUCGAGUGUGGGAGCUCUGAAACGAGCUUUUCCC